CAAAAUGCGAUAAGUAGUGUGAAUUGCAGAAUUUAGUGAAUCAUCGAAUCUUUGAACGCACAUUGCGCCCUUUGGUAUUCCUUAGGGCAUGCCUGUUCGAGCGUCAUAUACACCUUCAAGCACAGCUUGGUGAUGGGCGUCUGUCCUGCCUCCUCGGCGCGGACUCGUCUCAAAAUUAUUGGCAGCCUCUACCGCAGCUUCAGCGCAGCAGAUUUGCGUCUCUGGCGGCUCGGUUGGGGGGCUCUCCAUCAAGCCAUCAUUACAUUUUGACCUCGGAUCAGGUAGGGAUACCCGCUGAACUUAAGC
rnacentral:misc_RNA from 1 species